GAACAUUACUGCAGCUGCUUCCAGAGCUUCCACACAGAAAUUUCGUUGUUGUUUUGCUUGUUUAUUUUGUUUUCUUUUCAUUUGCAGGGGAGGUUGCAAGGGUGAAAGGCAGAUAUGGAGGGAGGGGGAAGAUGAGGAGGAUUAGGGUGCAUGAUGUGAAAUUCACACACACACAAAAAGUUAUUUUUUUUUAAAUGAAAGAAAAAGAAAAGAGUCAGAAAACACACACAUGACUUCCAUUCUGCUUCACUGGUGGAAACACUUAUGGGCACACUCAGCAUCAAGGAAAUCCGGGACUUGUAUUUGGAUCAUUGCAUGUCUAGGAAGAAUGAAUCUGGGAGGUACCCAGACAUCACUUAAAUGCAAGCAUCAUGAUAUAAUGAAGAGCAGGAACACUCACUAUACACAGGUAUUCACAAACAUCUCAUGUUUCAGGGGCCCAGUGACUCUGCCUGUCAGCUUUUGGUGUGAUUCGUGUGGAGUAAGGACCGGAGGAAAGAGAAUGAUAUAGAAGAAUUCAGAGCACUUCAAAAUUAUGAAUACAGAAUACACAGAGAAAUUUUGGUAGUCAUUUCUGCCAUAUGAAAAGGAAACUAGAGAGAUGAAGGAGAUGUAAGGCCUGGAGAAAUGUGGAUGAGAGGACAGAAUGCUAAUAUCCAUUUAUCGAAGCUUUGCAAUUUCAUGAGGUCCCAUUAAGUGGAUAUUAUCCCCAAAGCUCAAAAUACACAAGAUACAAUUCAUAGACCACAUGAAGCUCAAGAAGAAGGAAGAACAAAGUGUGGAUGCUUCGGUCCUUCUUAGAAGUUAGAACAAAAUACUCAUGGGAGGAAAUACGGAGACAAAGUGUGGAACAGAGACUGAAGGAAAGGCCAUCCAGAGACUGCCACACCUGGAGAUCCAUCCCAUAUACAGUCACCAAACCCAGACACUAUUGUAACUGCUAACAAGUGCUUAUUGACAGGAGCCUGAUAUAGCUGUCUCCUGAGAGGCUCUGCCAGAGCCUGACAAAUACAGAGGUGGAUGUUCUUAGUCAACCAUUGGAAUGAGCACGGGGUCCCUGAUGGAGGAGUUAGAGAAAGGACUGAAGGAGCUGAAGGGGCUUGCAACCCCAUAAGAAGAACAACAAUAUCAACCAACCAGACCCCCCAGAGCUCCCAGGGACUAAACCACCAACCAAAAAGUAUACACGGAGGGACCCAUGGCUCCAGGUGCAUAUGUAGCAGAAGAUGGGCUUAUCUGGCAUCAAUGGAAGGAGAGGCUCUUUGUCCUGUGAAGGCUCGAUGCACCAGUGUAGGGGAAUGCCAGGGUGGUAAAGUGGGAGUGGGUGGGUGGGUGGGGGAGCACCCUCAUAGAAGAAGGGGGAGUGGGGAAGGGAUAGGGGGUUUCCGGGACAUGGGGGAAAGGAGAUAACAUUUGAAAUGUAAAUAAAGAGAAUUAAAAAAAAAAAAGAGGACAGGAUGACCAGCUGUCCCUUUUCCAAAGCUGUUGACUAAUAACUAGCAACAUCUGGCCAUUUAUCGAAUGCUUUAUUAAUUAUUGUUUAUAGAAGCAUCUGAUGACAUAACUGUGCAGAAAGGUUUUAAACAACGGAUUGUGGGGGAGAAUGCCAACUUUAAAAGGUAAAUCUAAACAAGAAUAAUAAGUAGGUUUUGACAUCUGUAUCAGUUAGGGUUCUCCAGAGUCAUAGAACUUAUGGAAUGUCUCUCUAUAUUGAGGGAAUGUAUUGUGAUGACUUACAGUCUGUAGUCCAGCUAACCCAACAAUGGUCAGCUGAGGACGGGAAGUCCAAGAAUCUAGUAGUUGCUUAAUCCAAUGAGGCUAGGUGUUUCAACUGAUCUUCUGUAUAAGCUGCAAUCCUAAAGAAGUAAGCUCCAAAAGAUGUGCUGGCAAGUUAAGUGCAAGCAGGCAAAGAAGAACGAGUCUUCCUUCUUCCAUUGUCCUUAUGUAGGCUUCCAGAAAAGGUGUGGCCCAGAUUAAAGGUGUGUACUACCACACCUGGAUCUGGAACUUGCUUUGUCCCAGUCUGACCUUGAACUCAGAGAUCAUCUUGCCUCAGUCUCCUGGGAUUAAAGGUGUGUAAUACCUUGCCUGGACCUAAGCUUUUCUUGGCCACUAUGCCUCCAAGAUCUGGAUCACAGGUGUGCCCUCCAGUUCUGGAUUGUAGUUCAUUCCAGAUACAGUCAAGUUGACAAGAAGGAAUAUCCAUUACAACAUCCACAACUAAUUCCACGUUAUGUAAUUUUUGAAACCCACACUUGCCUCUCUGUACUAAAGUCUGCCAGGAUUCACAUGGCCCCAAUACAAUGGCAUUAAGAACAGUC